rnacentral:piRNA from 1 species
UUGCAAGUCCAUGGGACACCCUGAGCUAUGU